rnacentral:lncRNA from 1 species
UCUGACUCUUAUCUGCGUUUUAUUGAACAAAUGAAUUUGGCUACUAAAGACUCUGUGAUUUCAGGCUGAGGUCCGCCUCCAAGGGUCUGAUCUGUGUCAGCUAAAACCAGAGCUGGUGUUGAACAACUACAUCCAUUAACUAGCUUCCUCCUUUGCCUCCCUUUCUCCAUCCUUUGGAGAUCUAAUGGCACAGUUCCAGCUGUGAGAUGUGGCACCCUUGCGCUUCCUUGUUACAAGCUUGGAGAGACACCAUCAGGAUGCCAAGCAGGAUCCUGGACUGACAUCUUAGAUAUUCCUUCACCAAGAAUGGAUAACAGGGCAGGAACCAAAAAUUUCCUGGUGCCUCACUCCAAGAUGCAAUAUCAGCUCUUGUCCUAAAGAUAGGCUCUUCCCGGGCCAUGAUGGGCUUAGUCUCAUCAGCUGUUGUGUAGGAAAGGAAAGCCCAGGAGCUACAGGACCAAGAGCUGAGUCAUUCUCCAAGACAGAAGAAGGGAAGAAUGCACCUGCUGGUGGAUGGGACCACACCCCUCUGCUCACUUCAGCAAGCCCGUAUAUCUGCAGGACUGCUGGUAACCAUGGGAUGUUCAGAAGCCAUUUGCAACUGAGUCUGAGAGGGGUUGGGGGGAACGGAUGCUCAUGUUUAUGAGCCUGAGCAGCUUGUGUCAUGCAGCGGGUUGUCAUGUUCCCAGUAAACACACAACAUGGAAACUAUAUCCUAGAGCCAUACCCUUUCCUUGCUCAAAAGC